rnacentral:lncRNA from 1 species
CAUAUUAUUGGAAGUCCUGGCCAGAACGGUCAGGCAAGAGAAAAAAAUAAAGGCAUCCAAAUAGAAAGAGAGGAAGUCAAACUAUACCUAUUUGCAGAUGGCAUGACCUGUAUCUAGAAAAUCCCAUAGUCUCAGCUCAAAAGCUCUUUAAGCUGAUAAACAACUUCAGCAAAGUCUCAGGAUACAAAAUCAAUUUACAAAAAUCACUAGCAUUCCUAUACACCAACAGCAGUGAAGCCAAGAGCCAAAUCAGGAACACAGUCACAUUCAUAAUUGCCACAAAACGAAUAAAAUACAGCCAAGACGGCCAAAUAGAAACAGCUCAGGUCUGCAGCUCCCAGAAAGAUGAAUGCAAAAGGCAAGUGAAUUCUGCAUUUCCAAUUGAGGUACCAAGUUCAUCUCAUUUGGACUGACUAGGUGAUUGGCACAACCCACAGAGAGCAAGGAAAAGCAGGAUGAGGCGUUGCAUCACCCAGGAGCUGUGCAGGGCAAAGGGAUUUCCUUCCCACAGCCAAGAGAACUGCUGAGGGGUUGUGCUACCCACCAGGAGUACCAAGCUUUUCCUACAGAUUUUUGCAAUCCAUGGAUCCGGGGAUUCCUUCAUGAGCCUGCAACAUCAGGGCCUUAGGUCUCAAACACAAAACUAGACAGACAAAUGACAGCUGCUCCCGUCAGUGGCUGUUCAGGCAGGCACUGAGCUGCAGGAAUUUUUUACAUACUUCAGUGGUGCCUGGAACUCCAAUGAAGCUGGAGAACUGUCCAUCCUAUGGAAAGGGAGCUGAAGACAAGGAGCCAAAUGGUCUUGCUCAUUGGGUCCCACUCCUACAGAACCCCACAAGCGAAGACCCACUGGCUUGAAAUCCCCACUGCCAGCACAGCCAUCUGGAGUCUGCCUACGACAACCAAGUUCCUGGGGGGAGGAGUGACGACCAUUAUUUUGGCUCUAGUUGGCGGUUUUCCCCUCCCAGUGUUAAGGAUACUGGGAGGUUUGAACUGAGCAGUAUUCCCCACAGUGCAGCAAAGCAGCUGUGGCAGAUCGUGGCCAGAUUGCUUCCUUAGGUGGGAGCCGGAUCC